rnacentral:rRNA from 1 species
GACGAACGCUGGCGGCGUGCCUAAUACAUGCAAGUAGAACGCACAGUUUAUACCGUAGCUUGCCACACCAUAAACUGUGAGUUGCGAACGGGUGAGUAACGCGUAGGUAACCUGCCUGGUAGCGGGGGAUAACUAUUGGAAACGAUAGCUAAUACCGCAUAAUAUUAAUUAUUGCAUGAUAAUUAAUUGAAAGGUGCAAUUGCACCACUACCAGAUGGACCUGCGUUGUAUUAGCUAGUAGGUGAGGUAACGGCUCACCUAGGCGACGAUACAUAGCCGACCUGAGAGGGCGAUCGGCCACACUGGGACUGAGACACGGCCCAGACUCCUACGGGAGGCAGCAGUAGGGAAUCUUCGGCAAUGGACGAAAGUCUGACCGAGCAACGCCGCGUGAGUGAAGAAGGUUUUCGGAUCGUAAAGCUCUGUUGUAAGAGAAGAACGGGUGUGAGAGUGGAAAGUUCACACUGUGACGGUAUCUUACCAGAAAGGGACGGCUAACUACGUG